AAGACCUUACUUCUGCAGGAGCUACCCGACAGGUCUUAAUGCGGUCCCCACAUGGGGGUGCCGUGUGUCCCAAACCACAAUGAUGGAGAAAUGGUCUCUCGUAAGCGGGAAAUGGUAUGUUACCAUCCUGGCGUCGGAGGUAAUCAUGCGUUGAUGACCCAUCCACUAAAUGCUUCGGCAGGAGGUGGCGGAGAGAGCACACGCUGAGUGGU